rnacentral:rRNA from 1 species
GCGACCGGCCACACUGGGACUGAGACACGGCCCAGACUCCUACGGGAGGCAGCAGUGGGGAAUAUUGCACAAUGGGCGGAAGCCUGAUGCAGCGACGCCGCGUGAGGGAUGACGGCCUUCGGGUUGUAAACCUCUUUCAGCAGGGAGGAAGCGAAAGUGACGGUACCUGCAGAAGAAGCGCCGGCCAACUACGUGCCAGCAGCCGCGGUAAUACGUAGGGCGCGAGCGUUGUCCGGAUUUAUUGGGCGUAAAGAGCUCGUAGGCGG